GACGAACGCUGGCGGCGUGCCUAACACAUGCAAGUCGAGCGGGGAGACCCUUCGGGGUUUUCUAGCGGCGGACGGGUGAGUAACGCGUGAGCAACCUUUCCUUCACAGGGGGAUAACGCAGCGAAAGCUGUGCUAAUACCGCAUAAGACCACGAAGUCACAUGAUUUUGAGGUCAAAGGAGCAAUCCAGUGAGGGGUGGGCUCGCGUCUGAUUAGCUAGUUGGUGAGGUAACGGCCCACCAAGGCAACGAUCAGUAGCCGACCUGAGAGGGUGACCGGCCACACUGGGACUGAGACACGGCCCAGACUCCUACGGGAGGCAG
rnacentral:rRNA from 1 species